rnacentral:rRNA from 1 species
UACGGAGGGGGCUAGCGUUGUUCGGAAUCACUGGGCGUAAAGGGUGCGUAGGCGGGUCUUUAAGUCAGGGGGGAAAUCCUGGAGCUCAACUCCAGAACUGCCUUUGAUACUGAAGAUCUUGAGUUCGGGAGAGGUGAGUGGAACUGCGAGUGUAGAGGUGAAAUUCGUAGAUAUUCGCAAGAACACCAGUGGCGAAGGCGGCUCACUGGCCCGAUACUGACGCUGAGGAGCGAAAGCGUGGGGAGCGAACAGG